AAAAAAAAAAACCUAUCUCACAUACCAAUAAAUUCUCUAUUUUUGUAACUUAAAAAAAUUGGUUCCAAAGAUGUUGUUGGCCGAAUAUGCCUCAUCCAAGGAAGUGAUAUAUAUAACCACAACACAAAUACAAAGAUCAUCAUUGGAUUGCGUUUAGACAUGUACUAACAUUUAAUUAAAUAAGAUUUGUUUUUACCAGAAAAUAUAU
rnacentral:lncRNA from 1 species